rnacentral:rRNA from 1 species
UACGUAGGGGGGCAAGCGUUGUCCGGAUUUACUGGGCGUAAAGAGCGUGUAGGCGGCCAAACAGGUCCGUUGUGAAAACUGGAGGCUCAACUUCCAGACGUCGACGGAAACCGUCUGGCUAGAGUCCGGAAGAGGAGAGUGGAAUUCCUGGUGUAGCGGUGAAAUGCGCAGAUAUCAGGAAGAACACCCGUGGCGAAAGCGGCUCUCUGGGACGGUACUGACGCUGAGACGCGAAAGCGUGGGGAGCGAACAGG